AUUGCUCCUUAUUGCCCCUGACUAUAAGGUAUUUAGUGUUCAGCAGAUUGCUCCUUAUUGCCCCUGACUAUAAGGUAUUUAGUGUUCAGCAGAUUGUUCCUUAUUGCCCCUGACUAUAAGGUAUUUAGGGUUCAGCAGAUUGCUCCUUAUUGCCCCUGACUAUAAGGUAUUUAGUGUUCAGCAGAUUGCCCCUGACUAUAAGGUAUUUAGUGUUCAGCAGAUUGCUCCUUAUUGCCCCUGACUAUAAGGUAUUUAGUGUUCAGCAGAUUGCUCCUUAUUGCCCCUGACUAUAAGGUAUUUAGUGUUCAGCAGAUUGUUCCUUAUUGCCCCUGACUAUAAGGUAUUUAGGGUUCAGCAGAUUGCUCCUUAUUGCCCCUGACUCCCAGGUAUUUAGUGUUCAGCAGAUUGCUCCUUAUUGCCCCUCACUCCAAGGUAUUUAGUGUUCAGCAGAUUGUUCCUUAUUGCCCCUGACUAUAAGGUAUUUAGUGUUCAGCAGAUUGUUCCUUAUUGCCCCUGACUAUAAGGUAUUUAGGGUUCAGCAGAUUGCUCCUUAUUGCCCCUGACUAUAAGGUAUUUAGUGUUCAGCAGAUUGUUCCUUAUUGCCCCUGACUAUAAGGUAUUUAGGGUUCAGCAGAUUGCUCCUUAUUGCCCCUGACUAUAAGGUAUUUAGUGUUCAGCAGAUUGCUCCUUAUUGCCCCUGACUAUAAGGUAUUUAGGGUUCAGCAGAUUGCUCCUUAUUGCCCCUGACUCCCAGGUAUUUAGUGUUCAGCAGAUUGCUCCUUAUUACCGUGUUAAUCUUGACUUUACUUGUUAAUCGCUCCUGAAUCGUGUGAAUAGUCAAAUAUAAUGCUGAAGUAGUUGACAUUUAAAUAUAGGUGGAAGGGCUGAGGAAUGGAUAAGGUUUUAUAUAAACAGGGCUUAUUACAUCUCACUGUAAUAUUCAGCUAAUAGGAGCCCUACUGUAGGUGUAAUUCAAUUAGAACUAUUUCAUGAAGAUGUGGUUGUAUUAUCUCAAGGCAAGGCCCCUCUCCUCUACCAAAUGAAAAGGAUUUUCUGCCCUGCAGCCUAUUGACAUUUUACACAGUGUACAAAACAUUAAGAACACCUGAUCUUUACAUGACAUAGACUGACCAGGUGAACGCAUGACAUAGACUGACCAGGUGAAUGCAUGACAGACUGACCAGGUGAAUCCAUGACACAGACUGACCAGGUGAAUGCAUGACAUAGACUGACCAGGUGAACGCAUGACAUAGACUGACCAGGUGAAUGCAUAACAUAGACUGACCAGGUGAAUGCAUGACAUAGACUGACCAGGUGAAUGCAUGACAUAGACUGACCAGGUGAAUGCAUGACAUAGACUGACCAGGUGAAUGCAUGACAUAGACUGACCAGGUGAACGCAUGACAUAGACUGACCAGGUGAAUGCAUGACAUAGACUGACCAGGUGAAUCCAGGUGAAAGCUAUGAUCCCUUAUUGAGGUCACUUGUUAAAUUCUCUUCAAUCAGUGUAGAUGAAGGUGGAGGAGACAGUUUAAAGAAGGAGUGGUUAAUCCUUGAGACAUGGAUUGUGUGCCAUUCAGAGGAUGAAUGGUCAAGACAAAAUAUUUAAGUGCCUUUGAACGGGGUAUGGUAGUAGGCGCCAGCCGCACCAGUUUAAGUGUGUGAAGAACUGCAACGCUGCUGGAUUUUUCAACAGUUUCCGUGUGUAUUAACAAUGGUCCUCCAUCCAAAGGACAUUCAGCCAAUUGAGACAACUGUGGGAAACACUGGAGUCAACAUGGGCCACUAUCCCUGCGGAACGCUUUCGACACCUUGUGGAGUCCAUGUCCCGACGAAUUGAGGCUGUUCUGAGUGCAAAUGGGGAUACAACUCAAUAUUAAGAAAGUGUUCCUCAUGUUUUGUCCACUCAGUGGUUUUCUAUGCCGCUGACAUCUGAUUUGGUAAGACUGAAAGAGACAUGAUUUAUAUUGAAAAAAUGUCAUUUUGUUUCUGAAUCCAUAUUGUUAAUCGUACUAGAAUGUGUGGGUUGGCAUGGUGAUAAUGUAUGUACAAGUAGUUAGAUGUCUGUUCCUCUGGACUGGAGGUUCCCAGAAGUUGCUUCAACAUACACCCAACCUUACAGCAAUGUUUUUUUUUUUAAAUGAUGUAGAGUUCAUGUUUAGCCAACCAUGAGGCCCUUUGUCAACAUGUACAGACAGUCUUACUUCCCUUGUACUCGUUUAUAUGAUCUGUUAGCUUCACUCGCCUCCCAAAACGUAGUGAAAUAAGGUUCUUGGUGUGUUGAACAUCGACACUGUGGGGAAGAUUGUAAAGGAGUUGAUGUAGUCAUUGAUUAUGUUGCAUGAUGAAAGUCUCAGCCUUCAAGUGAUUUAUCAGAAACAGUAAUGCUGGAAGACUGUUCGUACCUGAAUCGUUCUGUGUACAGAUUUGUCCAUUGCAGCAGUUUGUACUGUAUAUGUAUUUGAUACCGUCUAUGACAACCAAUUAUGUUUUGAAGUCUUUUAAAGAAGCUGAAUUUCAUGACUCCUCUUUGUAUUGCUUAAUGUGGUAGGAGUAUCAGUGUCCCUCUCCCCUCUGUUCAGGUGUCUCUCCCAGUCCUGACAGCCGUCUAUGGGAGGAUCUCAAUGGCCUUUCCUUGAUUUCUAGCAUCCUCGCUUCCUUCUCAGCACGCAUUGGAUGAAAUGGUCAGAUGGGGAGGGAACUCUUACCUUCUCAUCCAAUGGGCUUUUAAGAAGGAGGUGAGAAGAGAGGAUGCGAAGAAUCAAGGAAAAGCAAUUGAGGUUCUCUCCAUGUCUCACCUGGCGUGGCCAGUCUGUUCACAGUUCCACAUAUCCUGUGGCUAGAAAUAUAACUAAAUGAACCAUAAUGUCCCAUAUAAUGUCCCUUAUUUUACACUGACACAAAUGGAUAACUAUAUACCUUUUUUGUUUUGUUUUCCAAUACAAUGAAUGUCGCUCUUUCAAAGGCUUGAUGUAACAGUGAGACAACGGGCCACGUUUUCAGGUUAGUUAUUUACCGAUGCGACAAUGAAUCUGUUGGCUCUCAGCUGAUGUGCUGUUCUCUCCGGUCUCUCUUGUUGUUGUGAGAGAUUUGGAGUCGCUCCUAGAAAUAGAGUCCGCUUCCCAAAUGGCACACUAUUCCCUACGUAGUGCACUACUUAGCCUAGGGCUCUGGUCAAAAGUAGUGCACUAUAUAGUGAAUAGGGUGCCAGUCAGUGCCUGAGAAUCAGCAUCUGAAUAGGACCGUCUGAAUGAAACGGUAUCGCUGGUCUGUUCAGAGCGUUUGUAGCAACAACAAAAACAGCGUGAGGAUUUUCAUAUCCUUGUCCCAUAGGAAAUGACCUCAGUUGCUAUGUCACUUUCUAGGCUACAGCCCUGAGGCCCCUAACUCUGCACGCCUGUCCUCCUGUCACACAGAAAGGGAGUAAAACCAAAACACAAGGAUUCUGUUGGCCUCGACUUGAAGAAUAAAAUGAGAUCAGAUAUCAAAAACUUUUCUAGCAUAGACUUUGGAUAAAUAACCCAGAGAAAAGGAAGUUGUUCUUUGAGAUGAGAGCUAUAGGUGCUAUCGUGGUUUUGUAACAAACUACUUGUGAGUUAUGGAUGUAUGGUGUUGGUGAAUAGCUGCGCGUGUUUGAAAGCCUGCAAAUUGUGGGGGGAAAAAAUAGCACUUUACAAAAGAAAUAAAUCUUCACACAUCUAGAGACCACCAGAUGGCUCAUAGCAAGUGCCAGUAUUAAUAUAGCUGACACUGCCAGCUGUUGUAAGCCGUCUGAAACAACGCAUAGCUGAACACAGCAGCUCAAUCAGGUAAGAACACUGAACAUCCAUCCAGUAGCAGCUCACUUUGUUGACCAUCCCAUCUCCUCCCUCAAAUACACAGGCGUGGAGCAUGUUGCUCUACCAAGGAGAGGAGGUAACGUGGAGAUCCUACUUACGACAGAGGGAGGUCUAUCGGAUAUUCUGUCUAACAACAUGGACCCCUAGUGGUCUGAAUAUUGACUUAGAUCUCAGACCCUUCUGAUGAACAAUAAUUUUUUUUAUGAACAAGCAUUUAAAAAAUCAGUAAAUUCUUUCCACAGGUUAUCAUCGUACACCCAAUAUGUUCCCCCCUGUUGAUGAUGCUUAUUAUGCAUUAGGGUUGAACCAAAAGAUUAUUGGAAACAAUUAUGUGUAUGUGGAAUUAAAUUAAACGAUGUAUGUUGAUGCUAAUAUUUCUGUACAACAUCUAAUUAUGUUUCCAUGUGAUAACAGUAGCCUAAUAUAUUCAAUAUGCUGCAAACUAUUGGUUUAUUAAAACAGUUUCACUCGAUUCAUUCUAAUCAACCUAAUAGUGAUGACACGCCCCUCGCUGUUGUCAUUGGUUGCUCUAAUAGUGAUGACACGCCCCUCGCUGUUGUCAUUGGUUGCUCUAAUAGUGAUGACACGCCCCUCACUGUUGUCAUUGGUUGCUCUAAUACUGACAUACCCCUCACUGUUGUCAUUGGUUGCUCUAAUAGUUAUGACACGCCCCUCACUGUUGUCAUUGGUUGCUCUAAUACUAAUGACAUACUCCUCACUGUUGUCAUUGGUUGCUCUAAUACUAAUGACAUACUCCUCACUGUUGUCAUUGGUUGCUCUAAUACUAAUGACAUGCCCCUCACUGUUGUCAUUGGUUGCUGUAAUACUAAUGACAUACCCCCUCUGUUGUCAUUGGUUGCUGUAAUACUAAUGACAUACCCCCCACUGUUGUCAUUGGUUGCUCUAAUACUAAUGACAUGCCCCUCACUGUUGUCAUUGGUUGCUCUAAUACUAAUGACAUGCCCCUCACUGUUGUCAUUGGUUGCUCUAAUUUCCUUGUUUGUCAACAUAACCUGGUUCCAGCAUUCAUGACAUCACCCUGAAGAAGAAAAAGUGAUGCUGAAAUGUUGCUGUUGCUGGAUUAAAUACAUUAUUUUCCUCAUCAAUUCUACACACAAAAACCCAUAAUGACAAAGUGAAAACAGAAAUGCUUGCAAAUGUAUUAAAAAAAACAGAUACCUUAUUUACAUAAAUAUUCAGACCCUUUGCUAUGACACUCAACAUUGAGCUCAGGUGCAUCUUGUUUCCAUUGAUCAUCCUUGAGAUGUUUCAACAACUUGAUUGAAGCCCAGCUGUGGUAAAUUCAAAUAGAUGGACAUGAUUUGGAAAGAUACACACCCGUCUAUAUAAGGUCCCACAGUUGACAGUGCGUGUCAGAGCAAAAACCAAGCCAUGAGGUCAAAGGAAGUGUCUGUAGAGCUCAGAGACAGGAUUGUGUCGAGGCACAGAUCUGGGGAAGGGUACCAAAAUAAUUAUUGAACGGAGGAAGUUUGGAACCACCAAGGCUUUUCCUAGAACUGUCCGCCUGGCUAAACUGAGCCAAUGGGGGAGAAGGGUGUUGGUCAGGGAGGUGACCAAGAACCAGAUGGUCACUCAAAGAGCUCCAGAGUUCCUCUGUGGAGAUGGGAGAACCUUCAAGAAGGACAACCAUCUCUGCAGCACUCCACCAAUCUGGCCUUUAUGGUAGAGUGGUCAGACGGAAGCCACUCCUCAGUGAAAGGCACAUGACAGCCCGCUUGGAGUUUGCCUAAAUGCACCUAAAGGACUCUCAGACCAUGAGAAACUAGAUUCUCUGGUCUGAUGAAACCAAGAUUGAACUCUUUGGCCUGAAUGCCAAGCGUCACAUCUGGAGGAAACCUGGCACCAUCCCUACUACGGUGAAGCAUAGUGGUGGCAGCAUUAUGCAGUGGGGAUGUUUUUCAGCAGCAGGGACUGUUCCACAUUGACUUGGUAUUUUACCAAAUAGGGCUAUCUUCUGUAUACCACCCCUACCUUGUCACAACACAACUGAUGGGCUCAAACUAAAUAACAAAUUAACUUUUAACAAGGCACACUUGUUAAUUGAAAUGCAUUCCAGGUGACUACCUCAUGAAGCUGGUUGAGAGAAUGCCAAGAGUGUGCAAAGCUGUCAUCAAGGUAAAGGGUGGCUACUUUGAAGAAUCUCAAAUAUAAAAUAUAUUUUGACUUGUUUAACACUUUUUUUUGGUUACUACAUGAUUCCAUAUGUGUUAUUUCAUAGUUUUGAUGUCUUCACUAUUAUUCUACAAUGUAGAACAUAGUAAAAAUUAAGAAAAACCCUUCAAUGAGUAGGUGUGUCCAAAUUUUUGACUGGUGCUAUAUAUAUGUUUAUGAGUGGGAGACUAUUUUAAUAACCGGUAAGUCGUAUGCAAAUCAUAUAUUAUUGGUGUUUUGAGUCCUCUGACAAUUCUAGCAAAAGCUUGUGUAUUCAUGGGGCUGUAGGUGAGCAGAUGGCUGUGUCAUGUCUGUCCAGGUGAGCUCUCAGCACACCAGUAGCUCCAACAUGUUAACUGAUUGGCAGAUCAUUUGACUGGAGAGUUCUCUUCCUAGCUUUUUAUAAGUGAGUUGUGAUUUGCAUCCCAAGUGGCACCCUAUUCUCUACAUAGUGCACUACUUUUGAUCAGAGUUUGCACCCUAUUCCCUAUGUAGUGCACUACUUUUGACCAGAGUGCUAUGGGAAUAGGGUGCCAUUUCAGAAGCAGACAGUGACUAACACACCUGUAAAUACCACAUGUAUGUUUGAUAGGAAGUGUGACUUCAGACUCAGAGAAGCUAAACCAGUCCUUAUCUCUCCCCUCCAGACCGAUGAGGGGGUCUUCAGGAGGUAGCAAGGAAGGGAACAGUGCACUGAGCUGGGGUAUUAGGCUCUGCAUCGCCCCCCCCCUGGGAGCAACAGACUAUGGAGAGUCUGAGACGGAUGCUUCAGUGAGAAAGCACUGGGGCUGGGUUUAAGGGUAACUACCGUCAAAUUUCCAAGUUAUCUUGCCUUUCCAAACUUUUAGAAUCCCAGGCCAACUCUCAGCUUUUAACUUGUCAUUCUCUUCUAAAUGUGCACCAGUGUGGUUUUAGACCUGGGGACGUAUGUACAGUGCAUUCAGAAAGUAUUCAGACACCUUGACUUUUUCCACAUUUUGUUACGUUACAGACUUAUUCUGAAAUGGAUUUAAAUCAUUUUUUCCCCUCAUCAAUCAACACACAAUAUCCCAUAAUGAAAGUCCCAAAAUGGGUUUUUAAAUAUUUUUGCAAAUUGUAUGAAAAACAUCACAUUUACGUCAGUAUUCACACACUUUACUCGGUACUUUGUUGAAGCACCUUUGGCAGCGAUUACAGCCUCGAGUACUCUUGGGUAUGAAGCUACAAGCUUGGCACACCUGUAUUUGGGGAGUUUCUCCCAUUCUUCUCUGCACAUCCUCAAGCUGUCAGGUUGGAUGGGGAGCGUUGCUGCACAGCUAUUAUCAGUGUCGUGUCUUUGGUUAUGCCGUAUUAAGUGAUAUGACAUGCUAUUCUAUAAAAUCAUUUCUCUGUAAUUAAUAUUACCUGAUUAAGCUAAUCAGGUAAAUUUAAUUAGCUAGAAUGUCGGGGCACCACGAAAGAAUAUUUAUAGAGCUGUUAUCUUCCGAAUAAUCUCUUAAAGACCUAGUAAUCUUUUACAUCAAUAGCAGUCAAUAUUUAAUCGUCACCUUAUUUAGUCUCAUCUGAAAGUGGUAAAUUAUUGGUUAUCUUCACGAACCCUGGCUAAGAAGUUUAAUCAGCAUUACAAAAUUUGGUUUAAUUAUGUAUUUACCAAAUACCUAAAUAAUCACACAGAGUUACAUCUCCACAGAAUGGCUCAUACAUUGAUUACAAAUUAUGUCAUAAAGGAAAACGUCCCUAGCGGACGGAACAGAUAUGACGGCUGGUUACACAAAGAAAGGGGGUUGGGUUUGUGUGAAAGAGCGGGAAGACUGAGUAACAAAGGGAGAAGCUAUCGUAAAUACAGUAUCUUAUGCAUUCUAAAUUACCAACCAUUUGAAAAAGGAAAAUGCAAUAAAUAUUCACUCUGAGCUGCGCUUCGGUAGAUUGGUCAUAGAUAGUAGGCCGGGUUGUCCUUUGAAGAAUGUCUGGUGUUAGAAAGGAUACUAGGUAGUACCGUCAUCGUGUAGUAGAAGAGACACUCUGUCCGUCCUCUCCUAGCCCACGUCUACAGUUGCUGCGCUAAAUGCAAAGGCUAGGAGGUAUCACUUCUUUAGUGAACAAGAGUUGCUGUACUUAAAACUUGUUUGGAAUAGGGGGCAGUAUUUUGACAUCCGGAUGAAAACCGUGCCCAAAGUAAACUGCCUGUUACUCAGGCCCAGAAGCUAGGAUAUGCAUGUAAUUGGUAGAUUUGGAUAGAGAACACUCUAAAGUUUCUAAAACUGUUAACAAAACAUCUGUGAGUAUAACAGAACUGAUAUGGCAGGCAAAACCCAGAGGACAAACCAUCCCAAAACAAAUGUUUUCAGCCUAACACUAUUUUCAAUGGCUGUCACUUUUAUUAUAAGGUGUAGUCCUCCCAGAUUGCAGUUCCCAGGGCUUCCACUAGAUGUCAACAGUCUGUAGAAAGAGUUUCAGACUGGGUUUUGGAAAUUGUAGUUUUUCUAGGUGGCUCCCAUUUUGGCUGUAGUGUUUCCAAGCGCGUGAAUGAGAGCGGGUUCUUUGGUAUUUUUCUCCGGUAGAGACAAUAAUUCUCCGUCUUAAAUUUUAUAGUUUAUUUAGCUAUUAGGGUACCUAAGGUUUGAUUAUAAACGUUGUUUGACUUGUUUGGAAAAGUUUAUUAGUAACGUUUGGGAUUCAUUUUGUAUGCAUUUUGAUGGAAACUGGGUGGAUUAUUGACUGAGUUUUUAUGGAUACAAAGAAGGACAUUAUCGAACAAAAGGACCAUUUGUGAUGUAACUGGGACCUUUUGGAGUGCCAACAGAAGAAGAUCAUCAUAGGUAAGGCAUUUAUUAUAUCGCUAUUUCGGACUUUCGUCUCGCACCUGCCUGGUUGAAAUAUGUUUUUCAUGGUUUUGAAUGCAGGGCGCUGUCCUCAGAUAAUCGCAUGGUGUGCUUUCGCCGUAAAGCCUUUUUGAAAUCUGCGGCUGGAUUAACAAGAAGUUCAGCUUUAUUCUGAUGCAUUACACUUCCCCAGAUCUGUGCAUCGACAUAUUCCUGUCUCAGAGCUCUACGGACAAUUCCUUCGACCUCAUGACUUGGUUUUUGCUCUGACAUGCAUUGUCAACUGUGGGACCUUAUAUAGACAGCUGUGUGCCUUUCCAAAUUAUAUCCAAUUCAUAAAAAUCACCACAGGUUGACUCCAAGCAAGUUGUUAAAACGUAUCAAGGAUGGAAACAGAAUGCACCUGAUCUCAAUUUCGAGGCUCAUAGAGAAGGGUGUGAAUACUAAUGUAAAUAAGGUAUUUCAGUUCAUUUGUAAUACAUUGAAAAAAAUAUGUAAAAACCUGUUUUUGCUUUGUUAUUAUGGGGUAUUGUGAUGUCAUUAUGGGGUAUUGUGAUGUCAUUAUGGGGUAUUGUGAUGUCAUUAUGGGGUAUUGUGUGUAGACUGUUUAGAACAAGGCUGUAACGUAACAUAAUGUGGAAGAAGUCAACGGAUAUGAAUACUUUCUGAAUGCCCUGUAUCAACAGAUAUGAAUGCUUUCUGAAUGCCCUGUAUCAACGGAUAUGAAUACUUUCUGAAUGCCCUGUAUCAACGGAUAUGAAUACUUUCUGAAUGCCCUGUAUCAACGGAUAUGAAUACUUUCUGAAUGCCCUGUAUCAACGGAUAUGAAUACUUUCUGAAUGCCCUGUAUCAACGGAUAUGAAUACUUUCUGAAUGCCCUGUAUCAACGGAUAUGAAUACUUUCUGAAUGCCCUGUAUCAACGGAUAUGAAUACAUUCUGAAUGCCCUGUAUCAAGCGUCUUAGAGAAGGAGUGCUGAUCUAGGAUCUGGUUUUCUCUGUCCAUGCAAUCUUAUUCAUUAUGAUAAAUCCUGAUCCUAAAUCAGUACUUCUGCUCUGAGAUGCUCGAUACAUACAGUACCUACAGAAAGUAUUCACGCAGCCUGAAUUUAAAAUGGAUUCAAUUGAGAUGUAUUGUUACUGUCCUAAACACAAUACCCCAUAAUGUCAAAGUGGAAUUAUGUUUUUAGACAUUUUUACAAAUUAAUUAAAAAUGAAAAGCUGAAAUGUCCUGAGUCAAUGACUAUUCAACCCCUUUGUUAUGGCAAGCCUAACUAUAUUCAAGAGUAAAAAUUUGCUUAACAAGUCACAUGGACUCACUCUGUGCGCAAUAAUAGUGUUUAAUUUGUUUUUUUGAAUGACUAUGACUUUUCUCUGUACCCCCCACACAACUAUCUAUCUGUAAGGUCCUUCAGUCAAGCAGUGAAUUUAAAACACAGAUUCAACCUCAAAUACCAGGGAGGUUAUUCAAUGCCUUGCAACGAACGCCACCUAUUAUUUUUUUUUUUAAAUCAGAUAUGAAAUAUCCCUUUGAGCAUGGUGAAGUUAUUAAUUACGCUUUGGAUGGUGUGUCAAUACACCCAGUCACUACAAAGAUGCAGGCGCCCUUCCUAUCUUAGUUGCCAGAGAGGAAGGAAUCAGCACAGGGAUUUCACCUUGAAAACAGUUAGAGUUUAAUGGCUGUGAUAGGAAGAAACUGAGGAUGGAUCAACAACAUUGUAGUUACUCCACAAUACCGACCUAAAUGACAGAGGGAAAAUAACAAAGCCUGUACAAAACAUGCAUCCUGUUUGCAACAUUGCACAAAAAGUAAAACUGCAAAAAAUGUGGCAAAGCAAAUAGCUUUGUCUUGAAUACAAAGUGCAAUGUUUGGAGCAAAUCCAAUACAUUACUGAGUAUCACUCCUUAUAUUUUCAAGCAUAGUGGUGGCCGUAUCAUUUUAUGGGUAUUCUUGUAAUCGUUAAGGACCUGGGAGUGUUUCAGGAUUUAAAAAAAGAAAUGAUCAGCCUUGUCAGCCUUGUCUCAGGAUGGUAAGUUGGUGGUUGAAGAUAUCCCGCUAGUGGUGUGGGGGCUGUGCUUUGGCAAAGUGGGUGGGGUUAUAUCCUUCCUGUUUGGCCCUGUCCGGGGGUGUCCUCGGAUGGGGCCACAGUGUCUCCUGACCCCUCCUGUCUCAGCCUCCAGUAUUUAUGCUGCAGUAGUUUAUGUGUCGGGGGGCUGGGGUCAGUUUGUUAUAUCUGGAGUACUUCUCCUGUCCUAUUCGGUGUCCUGUGUGAAUCUAAGUGUGCGUUCUCUAAUUCUCUCCUUCUCUUUUCUUUCUCUCUCUCGGAGGACCUGAGCCCUAGGACCAUGCCCCAGGACUACCU
ensembl:lncRNA